AACGCUGGCGGCAGGCUUAACACAUGCAAGUCGAACGAUGAANCUCUAGCUUGCUAGAGAUGAUUAGUGGCGGACGGGUGAGUAACAUUUAGGAAUCUACCUAGUAGUGGGGGAUAGCUCGGGGAAACUCGAAUUAAUACCGCAUACGACCUACGGGUGAAAGGGGGCGCAAGCUCUUGCUAUUAGAUGAGCCUAAAUCAGAUUAGCUAGUUGGUGGGGUAAAGGCCCACCAAGGCGACGAUCUGUAACUGGUCUGAGAGGAUGAUCAGUCACACCGGAACUGAGACACGGUCCGGACUCCUACGGGAGGCAGCAGUGGGGAAUAUUGGACAAUGGGGGCAACCCUGAUCCAGCCAUGCCGCGUGUGUGAAGAAGGCCUUUUGGUUGUAAAGCACUUUAAGCAGGGAGGAGAGGCUAAUGGUUAAUACCCAUUAGAUUAGACGUUACCUGCAGAAUAAGCACCGGCUAACUCUGUGCCAGCAGCCGCGGUAAUACAGAGGGUGCGAGCGUUAAUCGGAAUUACUGGGCGUAAAGCGAGUGUAGGUGGCUCAUUAAGUCACAUGUGAAAU
rnacentral:rRNA from 1 species